rnacentral:rRNA from 1 species
AUACGUAGGGGGCGAGCGUUGUCCGGAAUGAUUGGGCGUAAAGGGCGCGUAGGCGGCCCGGUAAGUCUGGAGUGAAAGUCCUGUUUUUAAGAUGGGAAUUGCUUUGGAUACUGUCGGGCUUGAGUGCAGGAGAGGUAAGUGGAAUUCCCAGUGUAGCGGUGAAAUGCGUAGAGAUUGGGAGGAACACCAGUGGCGAAGGCGACUUAGUGGACUGUAACUGACGCUGAGGCGCGAAAGUGUGGGGAGCAAACAUGAUUAGAUUCCCUAGUAGUCCACGCCGUAAACGAUGAAUACUAAGUGUUGGAAUUAUCCAGUGCUGCAGUUAACGCAAUAAGUAUUCCGCCUGGGGAGUAUGCACGCAAGUGUGAAACUCAAAGGAAUUGACGGGG